UGGUGGAGAUCAUCAAAGAUUACAUGAAGAAUGAUUGAAAUUUUGUUUUGAAACAUACUCUUUGUGAAGGAAAUGCUUAUACGAAUAUUCUUGCGAUGAAAGCUAACUCCGUAGAAUCUUUGAUUAUGGUUAAAGAAUCUUUUCCCAAUAUGCUAAUCUAUUAGAACAUUUUACAUAAAAACAAACCUUGCCAGCCUUGUGUGGAUGAGUAUGAGAACAGAGAACAUCACCCCCUAUCAUCUCGGCUGGCACUUCUACUUCACCGAACAUGCAUGAUCAUUUACAAACUUCCACUUCUUGUCGACUCAAUAAUUAAGAAUCGUCCUGUAAAAGUUUGAAGAAAAAGCAAUAGUUCAUAUAUGAACUAAUGUCAUUCAGGAUAACUUUCACAUCCCAUCCCUUCUAUAUAUAUAUAUAUAGAGAGAGAGAGAGAGUAGCAAUAUUUACGUCAUGUAAUUAAUGUGGAAGAUCACUGUUAUCUUGUUUUUCUAUUUAUUUUCAGGUUUUCCUUUCACCACUUUAAUUGAUUUUCUAUAUAAUAAUAGGGAGUUCGGAAAGAGAGGAUUCAAAUAAAUCUCAUGUGCAAAUAUAGCAAUCUGUCCUUUUGCUUUGCACUUUGCUCAUUCGGCUUUGCUGUCCGGCUUUUCCUUUAAGGAUGAAUGCUGCAACAACAAAUAAAAAGGUUAGUAGUGCUCACAUACACGAUGACAUUGCAAUCUUUAUUCUCUCCAAAUUGCCUCUUAAAUCCCUCACACGUUUUACUUGCGUUCAAAAACCAUUGUCUCUUUUAUUCCAAAACCCUUUUUUCAUGAAUAUGUAACACAAUAAUUUCUUAUCCAAACAUGACGAGGUCGACGAUAGUGACACGCAUCUCCUUCUAAAGCAAACGGCACAGGGUUUCCCUUUCAUUACUGGUUGUGCAUUUUUUCGGUGAAGGGUUGGAGGAUAGGGUUAGAUUAGAUUGACCUCCUCCUUUUCAAUAGGAUGUCAUUCAUAUUGAAAUUAUGGGCUUGACUAGUGUUAAUGGCACUCUUUGUCUCUACCAAGACAUUAACGAUGACAUAACAAAUGUACUGUAGAACCCUUCUGCCAUAGAAUUUAAGGACAUUCCUCCUAGCAUACAACCUUACGACAAUAUUGAGUUUAAUUUUCAUCCUCAAGGAUUUGGUUACGACUGUGUUAGUCGGAAGUCUCGAUAUCCUUUAGACUUUGAAGGUAAUUGGGUAUGUGUGCCCGAAAAGGAUAUCCCUUAUGGGAGAUGGAUUAUCUUGCCUCUUUCCGGGAGGGAAAUGUAGUAGAGAUGUAUGACCCUUUUUGGGAGAUAUACAACCUUAGAAGUAAAUCUAGGAGGAAAGUUGAGAGUGUUGAUAUGCCUGUUCCUUAGAAAGAUAGUUCUCGAGUGAACUUGAAUGAAUGGUGCCAUUGGUUGGACCAAAAAUAUGAUAUGGUGUCAUUUGACUUUAACAAUGAGAUGUUCUUUUGUAACAAAUUUACCCUCUUACUCAUCAAACAUAAUGGAAGAAUUGUUGACCAGACACUUGGGGGUGUUCAAUUAGUGUGUUUUCUUUAGUCUGUACUAUUGCUAAGACCGUUUCUUUUCACGUAUAGAUUUUGAAUGAACUCGAUGCCAAGGAAUCAUGGACAAAACUCUUUGUUGUUAGACCUUCAACUCACAUUAUGCGUGCUAUUGGGAUUGGAAUAAAGAGUGCUAUAUUCUACAUAAAAGAAAAUAUGGAGCUAGCCCUGAUUGAUUUAAGUACCCAAACUAGUGAAGAACAUUGGAGUUGAGGUAGAGUCGGUUUGCAUGAAGAUUGUAAUUUCUAAGAAAAACCUUCUUCCUUUUCCUUUUGGAGGAAUGAAUAAUUAAUUUGUUUUUGCAGUCUUAUCUGAAAGCACUCAGCCAUGAGGUUUAUGAACGAUGCCAUCAAGUUAUUUAUAUCUUGUCAGUUGCCCAUAAUUUAUGGUAUCUUGCAUGCAAAUUUACACAUACAACUCAUUGAUACCGGAAGUGACCUAUUAUUGAAAUCUACAUCACCAAAUCAGGCAUGUAAAAUUAGAGAAUUGUCAAGUCAUAUAUAUUAUGGAAUAAUAAUCUGUAUAGCUAGCCUGAGUCCUAUAUAUUAAAAUAUUUUCAGUAGGCCAUAUGCCUUUUCUACUUGUAGAUCAAUAACGUAAGAUGCAUGUAUGAACAUAAAUUUAACCAUUAUAAUGCACAAAUAGAGUAGAGUAAACAAGGAAAUCUAGAUCAAAAAAUUAUGACUCACAUGCAACCGAUUAGUAUUAAAUCAAAACAAUAAUUUAUCCAUGGAGUCUUUUAGACAUUUCAUGUCUCAAACACUCAUAUAACCCUCAUUUUUCCUUUUUUUAAGUUCUUAUUUUGAAUAAGAUGAUCAAUUUGAGAAAAUUAAGAUGGAUAGCCCUCAAAUCUAAAACUUGAGCUUGUUGUAGUAUAUUAAGCUCAGAGCAAUGCUUAGGACUGUUGAAAACUAUGUAAGCACACUUGAAUUCACUUCAAAUUUUAUAUAUAGACGCAAUUGUGAAGUUAAGAUCAUUUUUAUAGACAUAGCAUUGGGAAGCAUGAUUAAAGGGGUUUGAAGUGUGAUGAUUCAAUUGUUUCUCUAUGUCCUUCAGGCAAACCUAAGUUAGAAAAAAUUGAAUCAAGCUAACCAUAUGACAGCAGUUACUUCACACAUUAACCGACAAGCAGAUUGUUAAUGCUACAACAAGAGUAACUCUAACUAGCAGGAAAUUAUUCACAUGACCAUAUUACAAACAAUGGAAACAGAACUAAAACACUUAACAAUACACACACAAAGCAGAACAAUAUACUAAUUAGAAGAGAUUGAAGCAUCAGAAUAAAUACUAAAGUUUCUUUCUACUAUAGUUUAUAAAUCAUGGGCAACUGACAAGAUAUAAAUAACUUGAUAGCAUCGUUCAUAAACGUCAUGGCUGAAUGCUUUGAGUAAGACUGCAAAAACAAAUUAAUCAUUGAUUCCUCCAAAAGGAAAAGGAAGAAGGUUUUGUUAUAAAUUACAAUCUUCUUGCAAACCGACUCUGCCUCAACUCCAAUGUCUUCACUGGUUUGGGUACUAAAAUCAACCAGGGCUAGCUCCAUAUUUCUUUUAUGUAAAAUAUAUCACCCUUUAUUCCAAUCCCAAUAGCACGCAUAAUGCGAGUUGAAGGUCUCCUCCGUAUGUUGAGCCAAAUUAACCCUAAAGUGUUUGAACAUUCAAUUCAAUACAUCGCAACAGAUAGCAGAUUACAACGACUAUCACUAACAAAAUUAGCUGCACUGACACCGUAUGCUAAGAAAAGAACCCAAAAUUUGCUACGUACAAAAUUCUGCAGGUCCACAUCAUUUAGAUGAAAACUACAAGACCUACACAGAGCCUGUCAAGCUACCAAAAAGCUAGAUCAGCGCUAAUACACACAUCCUACCAUAAGACUCACAAAUUUUCCACCUGAACCCAAACAAUACAGGCACAAUUCCAAAGGACUCCAAUCUAAAAUAAAAUGCACACCAAAACUCAAUGAAACUUAAUUGGAGUUUUCCUUUGAAUAAAGCCACUCUCAAAAACUCAAAUUCUGCUAACAACAAUCUUAAAGCAUACUUAUAAAAAUAAACAAGCAAAAAUCUUAUGCUAGGACUAGGGUGAAUUAUUAAGCAUAAGAACUAGCUCAAUGUCUUAAACGAAACUAACAACAAAAUAAAUCUCUAGAGUAAAUUUCAGUAGUUUGUCCCAUUUGUCAUCGUCCCUCAUGAGCAAACAACUGCUUUUACUUCUUAUUUGAGAUUUCUCAUUACCACUAAUUGAAUCUAAACUAUGUGGGAAGUCAUACUCCAGGGAUAACAAUUCUUUAAAUUAUUUAUUAAAAGUAUUGAAAGUGACUUCUGUUCUAUCCCGCAGUGUUGAUUUCUUGAGAAGUAUUGACUCGGAAAUCGAAUUCAUGCACUUCACUACAUGCUAACCUAUUAGAACAUGUUACAUAGAAAUGAACCCUGCCAACCUUGUGUGGAGGAGUACGACAACAAAAAACACCAUCCCCUAUUAUCUCUGCUGGCACUUCUACUUCACCGAACAUGCAUGACCAUUUACAAACUUCCGCUUCUUGUUGACUCUUUAAGAAUUGUCCAAAAAUAAAAACCUGUAAAAGUGUUAUUAGAAAUGUGAUUAGUAGUUAGAAAUUAGUACCUAGCUACUAGUUUGUGAAUGCCUAUAAAUAAACUUGAUGUAAUCACUUGUAUUCAACUUUUUCAUUAGAAUCCUUUUACCAUCAUCAGUACAAUACAAUUUUAGACUUUUCUCUCCUUUUCCAUUGAUACUGUGUUUUCUAAAAAAUGUUUUUUAUAUGUGUGAAUAAAGAAGUAGAUAAUCAGAAUAUAGCUAACAGACGAACAAACCAAUGUAACAUGUAUUACAACAGUUCGCUUCAAUGAGCAUACGAUCAACACUUAUGGCAAGCGAAGAAUAUCAAAAUAGAAUACCUUAAUUUCUGAGUCUUCAAAUGUCCAGCUAGGAGAAAUAUUAAUGAUGCUGAAAAGAUGAUCACAGAAAAUAGAUGGGCACAGUACACAGUCGUCAAAGUGAUCUUGGGAGGGAAUAAUUGUACUGUCGAAUCCAUUUUCGCUUUCAAUUGUAUCCCAAUAAGCAUUAGAAGUAGAUGGCUUGCUCAGUUCUUCCUGUUCGUUGUUAUUAUAACUAAUCUCACAUGUUGAGACUGAAUGAUCACCAUCUAGGAGCCAACUGGUUAAGGAAUUAAAACCAGUUGCCUGUUCAUAUGGAAAGUUGAGCUUUUAGCAAUUAAAUGAGUUUGAUGGAGAGAAUUAAAAAGAUAAAUGUUAAAGAGUUACUCAUACAUAAAGCAAAAGCUUAUAUGAAACAGACAAUAGAUCCUGAUUUAGAACUAAACAAUAUACUAUAUAAACAUGAAAUAAUGCAAACAAAUGAGUAUUAAUUGCAGAUGAAGUAUCAAUUUUACUUGCAGAAAUAGUCGUUGCCUAAAGUACUUAUACAGACCAGUAUCAGAAUGACACAUAUUUCUUUGCCGUAUAACUAAUCCAAUACCUGCCAAUUUCCUACACUUUGUAUAAGACUUCCAUUCUGAUGCUGUUUAGUAAUGGUGCUGCUAAAAGGUUGCCCCAUUACCUCAUAUUGUUGAGAAGUACUAUUUAUUUCCAUGUUAUUGGAUUGUAUCUCAGGAAAAGAAGGCUGAAAAAGCUCGUCAUAACUUGCAGCAGUAUUGUCCAAGAUAUGUUGCCAUGAUGAAUAAUAGCCAAGGAGUUUUGACGGUUCACAUGCCGAUCCAACAUUAUUAAUGUGUCUGGUUUCAUUAGCUUGACUGAGUGGGAUAUAAUCUACCUGACGAAAGACAGGCAACCUUUCUUGAUCAUCUAUCACAAUUCCAAUUUUACAAUUAGUAUGACAUGUUAGGUAAGAUCUUGCCUGAAUUAAAUAUAAAAUGACGUUUUAACUUUGCUGCAUUAUUAGCGCAUAAUUUCGUUACAGUAUCAUCCAAUCAUGCAUUGCUAUGUCACUAAGUUUGAUUCUUACAACAAUCAUCUAAAAAAGUCAUCCUCUUUUAGUGACAUGGAAAUGCAUGAUUGAGUGAUAGAAGGGAAACCUGUAACCAAUUUAUUUUACAUCGACAGUACAUUAAAAUAAAAUAGAAGAAAUUUACCUUUGAGUGGUAGAGAACAGUUAGAACCUACGAGUUGAGUUUUAAUCUUCUGAGAAACAGGGCAUUGCAGCUCAAGAAAAGAGUGGAGAUCAGAAUUUGCUUCGCUAUUGAAUGCUAUAAACAUUACAAUGAGUGACAAUGUUAAAAUAGAUACACAGAAAAAGUGAACGAAGAAUAAAAGCAUAAAAAGGUUAUUCAAAAUGUUCUCUUAGCGCAAAAGUAAAACAUUUCAAAUCUUUAAAUAGAAUGAGGGAAGCCCAAGAAAAAUAUACCUAAUUCAGCUUCUUCACAUUCUGAUGCUUGAGCACCGUUAGUUUGCAAAUGAAUAUGGUAACUAUGUGGAUGAAGAUUAGACGAUCGAGAAGUUUCCAUUUCUGUGUUGGCCAUAACUUUGUAUGUUUGUUGAGCACAAGGAUUAGAUUCUUCGUAUUCUUUGGAACAUAUUACACUUGCCUUCUUUCCCUGGUUAUUUGGAGCAAAAGAGAGAAGAAAAAGCUAUGAAGUUUAAUUUUGGGGAAUACAAUAUUUAUACUUUCUUAUUUCAUAUUUGAUUGUUACAAUAAAAGUAUGUCAUUAGUUCAUUCCUCCUUAAAUUACCUCCUCUUCCAGAUAAUGGACUAAAACAAUGUGUGAGAGUUUCCUAUAACAAUGUCAAAUACAAAGAGUUAAAAACAAAUUAAAAAUUUCAUGAAGCAACAAUAAUUGAUAAGUUAUUCUAUUAAUCUAGAAUAUUAAAUACUGCAUAGAAAAUGUUAAAGAUGAAAACUUACUCUUCAAUCAACCAAUAAAUUCGUCUACAAAAAUUAUUAUUUUGCGCUCCACGGGCAUAGUAGCACUGUAAUACUUCCACACCUUCAUCCUGAAAACAUUACACCUCAUUCGACGCAAAAGUAUAUAUAAUGUAAAAAUAAAAAAGAUCUCCCAUUACAGUUUAAUUUCCAAAACAGAAUUUGUCAAUAAAAUUAAGUUUGUAACAAUACAUACCAUGAGCUUUCCAUGGCUUUCCUGGAGAGUUUUUCCAUCUUUAUUCUUCCUCCAGUUAUGACCAUCAUUUCUAAAGUGUUUCACCACCUUUCGAUUAUAUAGGAAAAGUGAACCACCUAAUGUAAACCAAAACAUGAUAAGACAUUAAGCUCAUGAAUAAACCAUUUUUUGUCCUAAUGAAUGAAGGAAAAUGAAAGUAUUUAUUCAAAACUAGAAUAAUCAGAAUCUACCAUACUUGUAGGCAUACAUGGAGGUUCUGAAGCAAUACGAUAGUUGUUAUAAUUACUGAGAAUUCGACGAAUUUCAGCUUUACGCAACCAUCGAUACUGUGCUUGUAAUACAAUUUUCUCAAUAUCUGCUUCUUCCCAUCAUAGUAUAACAAUUAGACAUUUAACAAAAGGUUUACUACGUGUUAGCAAUAAGAUACAAAAUAGGGGGGAAAAGGACAAUGAGACUAAAAUUUCAAUAUUAUGGAAAAGUACAUAUAUAGGUGCUAGGUUUUCAAUACUAGAAUAACACAAGAGAUAUUUUAUUUGGUUCAAAAGAGAUAAAGUAGAAGUGAAAUUUGAAGUAAAUAUAUGUUUGGUUCAUGUGACGAGGGAAAGAGUUUUUAAUGCAAUUUACUUUUUUAUUCCUCUAAUCUUACAACAAUCUCAUGACUUUGAAAUUAUUUACUUCAUAAAAAAUUAAACAUGAAAAUUCAAUAACCAAAAAUUCCAUAAAUAAUAACACACAAAAAUUCUAAAAUAAUAGAGCGCUUACAAAAUAGUUAUUACAAUAUAAAAAUAUCAAUAAAACAAUUUAUUGAUGGCAAAUUUUUUAUCUUGAUAAUAUAACUUUUUUUUAGAAAUGAUCUUGAAAAUCUAUCUGACACACUAAAUAUUUACCAAAAUAAAUUCUACAUAAAUAUGUAAAAGAAUUUAUUAACAUAUGUUUUAAUACAGAUUAAAAAGAAAAACAAUAAACACGAUUAUAUUAAAACACAUAAAAAAAUGAGUAUCAGUUUAGUAAAACAAUAAUUCUUUUUUGAGUAAAUUACACUCCCCUCCCUCAAAGAUGCUUGAAUUACACUCCCCUUCUCUAUUAUGUUAAAAUAUACAUUCCCCUCCCUUGAAAAGUAAAAUUUAUACUUCUCUCCCCAAUAAGAUGCUUGAAUUACAACCCCCUUCCUUAAUAAUUAAAUAUGGACUACACUUUAAUUUAUUUUAAUAUAAAUAAAUAUUUUUAUAAUAUAUAUUAAUUUUGAAUCACCAUUUAAAAAAUAUAAAUUCGUUUCUUUAUAACCUAAAUGUCAAUGACAAUUAAAUAUAAAUAUUUUGUUAUUAAUGUUAUAAUUUAGAAAUUGACUUUUAAAUAACCAUACUUAACCGAAUUUAGUAAUUUUUCACAUAUUUAUUUUGGAAUGUUUCAUAAUUUUUAAUAGGGUUUAAAACUAUAUGUUAAUGAAAUUGUGAAUAAAAAAUAGAGAAAUAUAUGUAUUCAAAAUUUGAUUAUAUUAAAAUGAACCCGCAAUAUUAUUUUUCUUUGAAGUGUGUUAGAUUAUUUGUUUGCUAGUUUAUUAGAAACAAAAAAAAAAUAUUGAGAGACUAAAGCGUAGAUUUUAACAUAAGAGGGGAGGGGAAUGUAAUUCAAGUUUCUCUCAAGAGAGGAGAGUGAAAUAAUUUUCUAAUAUGUUUUGAAUAGGAGAGGAGGGAAGUGUAUAUUUUAAGAUAAGAGGGGAGGAGAAUGUAAUUCAAGCAUCUUUGAGAGGAGAGGAGUAUAAUAUAUAUAUUUUUUUAUAGAGAACUAUAAAAGAAAGAAGAAAAGAAUACGCACAAAGCAAAAUGGAAAGAAAAAAAAAAAAAUAGCACGUUGGAACAUAAAAAGUGCAGGCAAGGAAAAAAACUUAAAACAUGAUUCAUGAACACAUAAAAGUCUAAAUUUCCAAUAAGAAUAAUUAUGUUCGGUUAUAAGGAUUGAACAUCAACGAUUUUUAUGGUGGUCGGUUUGUUGUAGUAUCACUCACACUAUGACAUCUUCCUCUAAAAAAAAAAUUAUACGACAUGUUAACGUCAUAAAAAAAAAUAUAAGACAUAUUAUCAAGGUUAAAUCGUACCUGUCAUACCCGUAUGCUCCUUUAGGGUUUGGAGAAGAAAAACUGUUAGAGACUCAAAAGCGUGACAGUUGGUUUAUUUUUCCGUGAUGUUUUUACCUAUGACCUAUCGGAAUAAUCGAAUAUAUAUUAUUUUUCAAUGGGUUAAUCUUAUGAAUUACCCAACUCAUCAUGAGCCACUCUCAAAUAUAACUCGUCUAAAAUACUUAGAAUAUUGCUCUUUUCAUUUUAAAAAUUGCUCCCUAACACCCAAAAAUAUCAAAAUUAGUGUAUUAGAAUAUUAAAUAAUUGAUUUUAUAUUUUAAUUAAUUAAUUUGAGAAAAUCCACAAAUUUAGCUAUUCUUUCACUUUUAUGACCUUAAUUAAUUAUUAAAAUAUAAGAAUUUUCAAUAAUUUAUAAAAUCACUUAUCAACAAAAUAGUGUAAGAAGUACAAUUUUUUUUUUUGAGCAAAAGAAGUACAAGUUUUAACAAUGAAAAAAGUGAAUCUGAUGAGAAAAACAAAAUCUUACAUGUUAAAUACUAACAUUUCACAUAGAAUACGGACUAACAUAAUAUAAUUAAUAAAUAUAUCAUCUAAAAAUGGUUCAAGCAAUCGCCGUAAGCUUAGCUCAAAUGGUAGGGAUAUUGCAUAUUAUAUGCAGGGGCCAGAGUUCGAACCCCGGACAUCAUAUGUGAUUAGACUUACCAGUUGAUGACAAAUAAUAUGUGAUUUUUUUCUUUGAUAUUAGUUUGCAAGAAGCUCAAAAGAGAAUGAAGAAAAGAAACCACCUCACACUCCGGUCAUUCAUCUCAAGCAGUUUAAAUACCUGGAACAGCUUGG
rnacentral:lncRNA from 1 species